GUCGAGGAUCUUCCGCAAUGGGCGAAAGCCUGACGGAGCGACACCGCGUGCAGGAUGAAGGCCUUCGGGUUGUAAACUGCUGUCACGCUAUGGGAACCGCCGAUGGUGAAUAUCCAUCGGCCUGACCAAAGCGAGAGGAAGCACCGGCUAACUCUGUGCCAGCAGCCGCGGUAAUACAGAGGGUGCAAACGUUGCUCGGAAUCACUGGGCAUAAAGCGCACGUAGGCUGUUCACUAAGUCUGAUGUGAAAUCCCCCGGCUCAACCGGGGAACUGCAUCAGAUACUGGCGAACUCGAGAGUUGUAGGGGUGGACGGAACUCCAGGUGGAGCGGUGAAAUGCGUAGAUAUCUGGAGGAACACCGGAGGCGAAAGCGGUCCACUGGGCAACUUCUGACGCUGAGGUGCGAAAGCUAGGGUAGCAAACGGGAUUAGAUACCCCUGUAGUCC
rnacentral:rRNA from 1 species